rnacentral:rRNA from 1 species
GAUGAACGCUGGCGGCGUGCCUAAUACAUGCAAGUCGAGCGAACGGACGAGAAGCUUGCUUUUCUGAUGUUAGCGGCGAACGGGUGAGUAACACGUGGAUAACCUACCUAUAAGACUGGGAUAACUUCGGGAAACCGGAGCUAAUACCGGAUAAUAUUUUGAACCGCAUGGUUCAAAAGUGAAAGACGGUCUUGCUGUCACUUAUAGAUGGAUCCGCGCUGCAUUAGCUAGUUGGUAAGGUAACGGCUUACCAAGGCAACGAUGCAUAGCCGACCUGAGAGGGUGAUCGGCCACACUGGUACUGAGACACGGUCCAGACUCCUACGGGAGGCAGCAGUAGGGAAUCUUCCGCAAUGGGCGAAAGCCUGACGGAGCAACGCCGCGUGAGUGAUGAAGGUCUUCGGAUCGUAAAACUCUGUUAUUAGGGAAGAACAUAUGUGUAAGUAACUGUGCACAUCUUGACGGUACCUAAUCAGAAAGCCACGGCUAACUACGUG